rnacentral:lncRNA from 1 species
ACGGAGAUCUUCUCAUUGGCGUCAGUGAGCUCUUUGUUCUUCCCUCGUGUUCGUGAAUCCCUCACUGAAUCUCUCUCGUCGUGAACUGUUCGUGAAUCUCAUUGAAACCCUAACUAACAAAUCUCUCUCAUGUUCGUGAACUUUUCUUCGUUUUCGCGAUUAAACGAAGUUUCGCGUCUUUUCUGUUUGCGAUUGAACGAAGUUUUGUGCUGGUAUGCUGAGUUUUGAAGCUUCGUGUUCUGAUCUUUGUUCUGUUUAGUUUCAGCAUUCAUUUUUUUU